UACAGAGGGUGCGAGCGUUAAUCGGAAUUACUGGGCGUAAAGCGUGCGUAGACGGUAGCGUAAGUCAGAUGUGAAAGCCCCGGGCUCAACCUGGGAACUGCAUUUGAGACUGCUCUGCUCGGGUGCGGAAGAGGGAAGCGGAAUUUCCGGUGUAGCGGUGAAAUGCGUAGAUAUCGGAAAGGAACACCAGUGGCGAAAGCGGCUUCCUGGUCCGACACCGACGUUCAGGCACGAAAGCGUGGGGAGCAAACAGG
rnacentral:rRNA from 1 species